rnacentral:lncRNA from 1 species
GCUCCGGACUGGGGAGCGUCGCUGGAGGCUCCGGACUGGGGAGCGUCGCUGGAGGCUCCGGACUGGGGAGCGUCGCUGGAGGCUCCGGGCUGAGGUCCGUCUCAGUAGGUUCCGGGCUGAGGUCCGUCUCAGUAGGUUCCGGGCUGAGGUCCGUCUCAGUAGGUUCCGGGCUGUAGGCCGUCUCAGUAGGUUCCGGGCUGUAGGCCGUCUCAGUAGGUUCCGGGCUGUAGGCAGUCUAAGUAGGUUCCGGACUGUAGGCCGUCUCAGUAGGUCCCGGACUGAAAAACGUCGCCGGAAGCUCUGGACGGGGAACUGUCGCCGGAAGCUCUGGACGGGGAACUGUCGUUGGAAGCUCUGGACUGGGAAUGUGCACUGGAAUCCUGAUGUGUGGGACUGGCAUGGGUGGCGCCAGACUGGUAACACGCACCUCAGGAAGAGUGCAGGGGGCAGGAACAAGACACUCCGGACUGGGCAUGCGCACUGGAGGUCUGACGCGUGGAACUGGCCUAGGUGGCGCCAGACUGGUAACACGCACCUCAGGAAGAGUGCAGGGGGCAGGAACAAGACACUCCGGACUGGGCAUGCGCACUGGAGGUCUGAUGCGUGGGACUGGCCUAGGUGGCGCCGGACUGGUAACACGCACCUCAGGACGAGUGCAGGGAGCAGGAACAGGACACUCCGGACUGGGCAUGUGCACUGGAGGUCUGACGCGUGGAACUGGCCUAGGUGGCGCCAGACUGGUAACAGUCACCUCAGGGCGAGUGCGGGAAGGAGGCACAGGACGUACUGGGCUAUGGAGGCGAACUGGAGACCAGGCAUGCUGAGCAGGCCUACUCCUUCCUGGCUGAAUGCCCAUCUUAGCCCGACACCGGUGAGGAGCUUGCACCGAGCGCACCGGGCUGUGAGUGCGUAUGGGCGAUAUAGUGUGCAUCACACCAUAACCCAGUGCUCAUUAAUCCACUCGCUCCUCAGCACGCCCGCUCCGCAGCGCUCUUAACGCCAGCACCUCUCUCCGGAAUCUUGCGUCGAACUCCGCGCUCGACUCUCUGACUGGCUCCAGUUCACUCCACAGCUCUCCAUGGUAAGCACGGGAAGUUGGCUCAGGUCUCCCCUCUGACAUUGCCAAACUCCCCGUAUGAGCUUGGAGGGGACUAUGCCAUUGAAUAACAUCCUACUAACAUAAUGUAGUUAUUUCCCCAUUUGUCCAGGUGGAAGAGGGCAGUGUGAAGUGCAAUUGAGAGCGUCAUCUGUGGAUCUGUUGGGGCGGUAUGCGAAUUGGAGUCUGUCUAGGGUGUCUGGGAUUAUGGUGUUGAUGUGACCAGCCUUUCAAAGCACUUCAUAAUUACAGAUGUAAGUGCUACAGGGCGAUAGUCAUUUAGGCAGGCUACCUUGGAACUCUUGGGAACAGAGACAAUGGUGGUCAGCUUGAAACAUGUUGGGAUUAAAGACGGGACAAGGACAGAUGUCUGUGAAGACACUUGCCAGCUGGUCUGCGCAUGCUUUGAGAACGUGCCCUGGUAUUCCGUCUGGCCCGACAGCCUUCGUGAUUGUUAAUGUGUUUAAGUGUUUUGCUCACAUUGGCCACGGAGAGCGUGAUCACACAGUCAUCCAGAAAAACGGGCUUUCACGCAAGGCACAGUGUUAUAUUGUCUGCAAGCCCUGCAACAUACGACGAGCGUCGGAGCCAGUGUAAUAGGAUUCCACCUUCCUCCUAUAUUUUCCUUUUGCAUGUUUGAUGUCUCGUCGGAGGUCGUAGUGGGCUUUCUUGUACUGUGUGUCCCGUUCCUUGUAAGCGGUAGCUCUAGCCUUUAGCUUAGCGCGGAUAUCACCUGUAAUCCAUGGUUUUUCGUUUGGAUAUGUUCUUAUAGUCACUGUGGGGGUGACAUCGUCUAUGCACUUAUUGAUAAAGCCUGUGACUUUAUGAAUGAAUCCCAGAACAAUCCCAGUCUGUACUAGCAAAACAGUCUUGUAGCCUCGUCUGCUUCAUCCGACCACUUUCAUAUUGAGCGCAUCACUGGUGCUUCUUGUUUGAGCUUUUUUUGUAAACAGGAAGCAUGAGAAUGGAGUCAUGGUCAGAUGUGCCAAAGAGAGGACAAGGGAGGGCCUUGAAUGCCUUUAUGUGGGUAGAAUAAAAG